UGGCUCAGUGGAUAGAGCAUCAGCCUGCAGGCUGAAGGGUCCUGGGUUCGAUUCCAGG
rfam:Myotis davidii contig38587, whole genome shotgun sequence.